rnacentral:rRNA from 1 species
GUCCUGUUGAGUAUAAUUUCAGGUCAGGCCUGCCCAAUGAUUGUUUGAAUGGCCGCGGUAAUUUGACCGUGCAAAGGUAGCAUAAUCACUAGUUUUUUAAUUGAAAGCUUGAAUGAAAGGUUUAAUGAGAAAAUUACUGUCUCUUGAGAAAUUUAUUAGAAUUUUAUUUUUAAGUUAAAAAGCUUAAAUUUAUAUGGAAGACGAGAAGACCCUAUAGAGUUUUAUAUUUAUGUUGAUUAGUAAAUUUGAAGAUAAAAGAUUUAUUUAUUAGCUAGGUAUUUUAUUGGGGUGAUAGAAAAAUUAAUUUAACUUUUUUUUCAAGGUUACAUUUAUUUAUGAGUACUUGAUCCUAGGGCUUAGAUCAGAAGAUUAAAUUACCUUAGGGAUAACAGCGUAAUUUUUUUUAGAGUUCUUAUCGAAAAAAAAGAUUGCGACCUCGAUGUUGGAUUAAAAUUUGUUUCUGGCGCAGAAGUUAGGGAACUAGGUCUGUUCGACCUUUAAAAUUUUACAUGAUCUGAGUUUAAACCGGCGUGAG